rnacentral:antisense_RNA from 1 species
GAGACUACAGAGAGAGAAUGCUAAUGAGCUGUGAAAUGACCAAAGAUCUGGCAGCAGAAGGGAAAAGAAAAAAUAAUGGGAACAAGAGGAUUUAUCUGACUCAACUGGAGAUGGCUCCCUUCCCUAAUUUAUUGUUGCAUCCUGAAGCUUCCCCCAUGCUGGGCUCAGUGUGAACAAACAGCGCGGGAGAAUGCAACCACUGCAGAGGCAUAUGUUUGAGAUGCCUGGCCACUGGAGGUCAUCUCGUCUACUAUGUUCACCACAGAUAAAGAAUGAAAAGAGAAUAUACAACCUUGUGAUUGCUAGCAGUGAAAGCUCAGAGUUAUGACAUAACAUGCUGCAGUGCUGGCAGCCGUCCCGAGAAGGCUCUGAAGAGUGGGCUGGUUAACAGGAGCGUUUUCACUGCAGGCAGACUCGGUUGCCUUGGUGAAGUCCCCGUGCAUCUGAAGAGUGGCUCAUCUGUUCCUGCCUGGGGAUCACUUGUGCUCAUCCAGGCAUGGCCCCCACAAGAAAUCUGGGAGAAUGGCGAGCUGGUGCCAGCUGAACUGUGAACCUCUAAGAAUAAGUGAAUAAAACGAUUUUAUGCACUACAA